rnacentral:rRNA from 1 species
CUGUCUUGACAUCCNCGGAAGUUUUCAGAGAUGAGAAUGUGCNUUCGGGAACCGUGAGACAGGUGCUGCAUGGCUGUCGUCAGCUCGUGUUGUAAAUGUUGGGUUAAGUCCCGCAACGAGCGCAACCCUUAUCCUUUGUUGCCAGCGGUCCGGCCGGGAACUCAAAGGAGACUGCCAGUGAUAAACUGGAGGAAGGUGGGGAUGACGUCAAGUCAUCAUGGCCCUUACGACCAGGGCUACACACGUGCUACAAUGGCGCAUACAAAGAGAAGCGACCUCGCGAGAGCAAGCGGACCUCAUAAAGUGCGUCGUAGUCCGGAUUGGAGUCUGCAACUCGACUCCAUGAAGUCGGAAUCGCUAGUAAUCGUGGAUCAGAAUGCCACGGUGAAUACGUUCCCGGGCCUUGUACACACCGCCCGUCACACCAUGGGAGUGGGUUGCAAAAGAAGUAGGUAGCUUAACCUUCGGGAGGGCGCUUACCACUUUGUGNCNCAUGACUGGGGUG